CCCCUUCCAGCGUCGCGUGUGACGUCACGAUUCCGCCGGAAGUCUGGGGACGCGCCCUAGAGGCGCUGGCGGGGUGCAGUUGGCGGUUGGCGGAUCCCGGCGCCCGAUCCAGUCUCCUAGAGGAAUCAUGUCUCCUGAAGUUUUGGGUGCCACCUGUUGUGCCAGGCGUACGCCGCUGCACAAGAGGAGAUGCCAUUUGAAUUCUCAGUGAAUGUUCGAAGGAGGAAUGUCCGAACUGCCGGCUGAAAGCUAUGCAAACAAAAUAAAUAUAUAGGCUGGGGAUCCUGAAUCACCUCGUGAGAAUUGCUGCUCUUUGUUUCCUAUCUUAUCUCAUGAAGAGUUUUUACGUUUAGCUAUCUCAGUUGGAAGUCCCUCCCAGAAUAUUUGCUAAGGCCAAAAGUAACUGUUUCCAGUUUAUUAACACAGCCCAGGAUGGACUUUUUGUUUCUCUUCUUGUUCUACCUGGCUUUGUUGGUAAUUGGUGUUAUUACAAUUUGCAUCUGCUCGAAAAUCCAUUGCUUGAAAGGCCUGGUCAGAGGAGGAGCACAGAUAUUCUCCUAUCUAAUUCCAGAAUGCGUUCAGAGAGCCUUGCUGCGAUUGCUUCAUUACCUCUUCCAUACACGAAACCACACCUUUGUUAUCCUGCAUCUCGUCUUGCAAGGAAUGGUUUAUACUGAAUACACCUGGGAAAUAUUUGGCCUCUGUCAAGAGCUGGAGUUCUCCUUGUACUACCUUUUCCUGCCUUACCUGCUGCUGAUUAUCAAUCUGGUUUUUUUUGCCCUAACUUGCGUAACGGACCCUGGUACAGUAACAAAAGAAAAUGAAUCAGUGUUUCUUCAGGUUUACGAAUUUGAUGAAGUGAUGUUCCCGAAGAACGUGAGCUGCUCUACUUGCGAUUUGAGGAAACCAGCACGAUCCAAGCACUGCAGUGUGUGUAACCGGUGCGUGCACCGUUUUGACCACCACUGUGUGUGGGUGAACAAUUGCAUCGGGGCCUGGAACACCAGGUACUUCCUCUUCUACCUCUUGACAUUGACGGCCUCGGCUGCCACCAUGGCCGUGGUGAGCACCGUGUUUCUGGUCCGGUUGGUGAUGGGGUCAGACUUGUACCUGGAGACUUACAUCGAUGACCUCGGACGCUCGCAGGUUGUCGACACUGUCUUUCUUGUUCAGUACCUGUUCCUGACCUUCCCGAGGAUCGUCUUCCUUUUGGGCUUUGUCCUGGUGCUGAGCUUCCUCCUGGGGGGCUACCUGUGCUUUGCUCUCUACCUGGCUGCCACCAACCAGACCACUAACGAGUGGUACCGAGGCGACCGGGCCUGGUGCCAGCAUUGCCCCCACGCGGCCCAGACCCCAUCAGCAGAGCCCCGGGUUUACCGGAACGCGUACUGCCGUGGGCUUUGGAGCAACCUUCAGGAGAUCUUUCUACCUGCUGCUGCACAUUAUGAAAGAAAGAAGAAAUAAGAAUGGGAAGAGUGGCGUUCCCUUCGUGGCUCAGUGGUUAACGAACCCAACUAACAUCCCUGAGCUGGUGGGUUCGGUCCCUGGCCUCGCUCAGUGGGUUAAGGAUCCGGCGUUGCCGUGAGCUGUGGUGUAGGUUGAAGACACGGCUCAGACCUGGCGUUGCUGUGACUGUGGUGUAGGCCGGUGGCUACAGCUCCGAUUGGACCCCUAGCCUGCGAACUUCCAUAUGCCACAGGUGCGGCCCUGAAAAGUGGAAAAAAAAGGGGGGUGGGUGGGAGAGUGUUACUGCCUUUUAAAUAUAGUCUACAUUAUUUAUACAUAUGUA